GCAGUGUGCCUGGAGCGCACACACAACCACACACUGACGCAUACACACACAAGCAUCUUCCCGCCGUCUGCGAUGCAGCAGGAUGGGUAAAAGUUUUCCGCGAACCAACACCCGCGCGCUGUGGUGGUGGGUGGACGUGGAUGUUUGGUUCCAUUCUUAGGCAGUUUGGUGGAGUCGCAGCAACGAAGCACGAAACGCUCAUCCAUCGAAGCGUAAAGUAAAGUUUGUAUAAAACAAUCGUUGGUGCACGGCGUUGUAUUCCGUAUGGAAAGGAGCUAAACGGGAGAUCGGUUGUUUUUUGGCGAAGACGAAGGAUUGGAUGCAUCCGUACGGCACACGCUGGCGUGGAUUGCUGUGGUGCGAGAUGGGAAGAGGCAAAAUUACGAGGUACAUUGACACUGAUUGUCGAUUUGGCGAGAAUUUUGUUGAAGAUACAGAUGGUAUUGCAACUUAAAUUUGGCUCCGAUUAAAAAUACGCUACAGUAUUGAGUUGGAAUAAGAAUCAGACGUGUAAACUCUGUAUUGUCUGUCAGCGGAAAUUACUGAAACAAGUGGAAGAUACAUCAGACAUACCGAAGUUAACAAUAAGCCAGACCACACCCUAUGAUCAUGGGUUGGAUGUGUCAGCUGUGACGGAAGCGCUAGCGAAGUGUAACGUUACGGCUUAGCAAUGUACCCACAUGACACGUAUGAGUAUUUUUAAUCAGACACAGUGUGGUGGAAGUUUAAUCACAGUGAGUAUACAAAGCAACCAAUGAAUGACACUCACCGCACGGUUGCAAUUAAAAGGCGCCGGGAGUGUGGUCAAUGA